rnacentral:rRNA from 1 species
AGCGGCAGCACGGGAGCUUGCUCCUGGUGGCGAGCGGCGGACGGGUGAGGAACACGUGGGAAUCCACCUAUUGGUGGGGGAUAACUUGGGGAAACUCAAGGUAAUACCGCAUUAUCCCUACGGGGGAAAGCAGGGGACCUUCGGGCCUUGCGCCGAUAGAUGAGCCCGCGUCGGAUUAGCUAGUUGGUAGGGUAAAGGCCUACCAAGGCGACGAUCCGUAGCUGGUCUGAGAGGAUGAUCAGCCACACUGGGACUGAGACACGGCCCAGACUCCUACGGGAGGCAGCAGUGGGGAAUAUUGGACAAUGGGGGAAACCCUGAUCCAGCCAUGCCGCGUGUGUGAAGAAGGCCUUAGGGUUGUAAAGCACUUUCAGUGGGGAGGAAGGCUUCUGGCUAAUAACCGGGAGUACUUGACGUUACCCACAGAAGAAGCACCGGCUAAUUUCGUGCCAGCAGCCGCGGUAAUACGAAAGGUGCGAGCGUUAAUCGGAAUUACUGGGCGUAAAGCGCGCGUAGGCGGCUAUUUAAGUCUGAUGUGAAAUCCCCGGGCUCAACCUGGGAAUUGCAUCGGAUACUGGGUAGCUAGAAUGCGGUAGAGGGGGGUGGAAUUCCAGGUGUAGCGGUGAAAUGCGUA